rnacentral:rRNA from 1 species
GGAUGCGAUCAUACCAGCACUAAAGCACCGGAUCCCAUUAGAACUCCGAAGUUAUGCGUGCUUGGGCGAGAGUAGUACUAGGAUGGGUGACCUCCUGGGAAGUCCUCGUGUUGCAUUCC